rnacentral:rRNA from 1 species
GGUGAACGCUGGCGGCGUGCCUAAGACAUGCAAGUCGAGCGGGGCAGGUUUAUACCUGUUCAGCGGCGGACGGGUGAGUAACGCGUGGGUGACCUACCCGGAAGAGGCGGACAACCUGGGGAAACCCAGGCUAAUCCGCCAUGUGGUCCUGUCCUGUGGGGCAGGACUAAAGGGUGGAUAGCCCGCUUCCGGAUGGGCCCGGGUCCCAUCAGCUAGUUGGUGGGGUAAAGGCCCACCAAGGCUACGACGGGUAGCCGGUCUGAGAGGAUGGCCGGCCACAGGGGCACUGAGCCACGGGAGACACUGCGACGGGAGGCAGCAGGUAGGAAGCUGCAGCAAUGGACGGAAGUCUGACGGAGCGACGCAGCUUGGAGGAGGAAGCCAUUCGGGGUGUAAAGUCCUGAACUGGGGACGAAAGGCCUGUGUAGGGGGAGGAGGGUACCCAGGUAACAGCGCCGGCAAACUACGUG